AUUUUCACAAAAGUGAUUGUUUUACCGGCGCAACUUGGCUUGUCCUAUGUUUUGGCGGCUUGAAAACAAAAAUUGUUGAAAGAAUACGCCAGUGGUUAAAAUAUUUGGUCACAACCGUGACAUAGAAAUCAAAGUAACAGAAUAUAAUAAGAAUAAGUGUGAUAACUAAAAAAGUUUGCGUGAAUAGAGAAAAAAAAGUUUACAUCGUCAACAUUUUAAAAGUAACUCUUCACGAAGAAAGAAUGGCACCUAAACUUCGCAAUAAUAGAAAAAAAGCUUAUGAAUCACAACAAAUUAUCGAACAAGCAUCUACAAGCAGAAAAAGAACUAAAAUUAAAAUUAAGGUUCAAAGUAAGAAGGCA